rnacentral:rRNA from 1 species
CCUACGGGGGGCAGCAGUGAGGAAUAUUGGUCAAUGGGCGAGAGCCUGAACCAGCCAAGUCGCGUGAAGGAUGACGGCCCUACGGGUUGUAAACUUCUUUUGUCAGGGAGCAAUUGAGUCCACGUGUGGGCUUAGCGAGAGUACCUGAAGAAAAAGCAUCGGCUAACUACGUGCCAGCAGCCGCGGUAAUACGUAGGUGGCAAGCGUUAUCCGGAUUUAAUGGGUGUAAAGGGCGUGUAGGCGGGAAAGCAAGUCAGAUGUGAAAACCAUGGGCUCAACCUGUGGCCUGCAUUUGAAACUGGUUUUCUUGAGUGCUGGAGAGGCAGGCGGAAUGCGUAGUGUAGCGGUGAAAUGAAUAGAUAUUAGGAGGAACACCAGUGGCGAAGGCGGUCUGCUGGACAGCAACUGACGCUGAGGCGCGAAAGCGUGGGGAGCAAACAGGAUUAGAUACCCCAGUAGUC